GGUAGAGCCAGACCUCUCGGUUUUAGAUGGAGCACAGCCUGCUGCCAGUCUGAGAACCAGGGGAACGGCGUUUGUGACGCCCUUGAAUUGCUUUGGUUAAAUUUCCCCGCAACUACACUGCCCUCCAGCAUUCAUGGUGAGUUAUAUCUUUCUUUGGUGGAGUGCCUAGCACCAGAUGCUGAGUCAGAUCCCUCCCCAUGUACCUCAGAGGAAGCGAAGAAGAUGACCAUGUGCUUUUCUCUCUCCCUGUGUCUCUCUCAUCCACAUACAGGCACUCACACAUGCAGAGGGACAUCUCCCCCCUCCCUGCAUCCACGUAUAGUGGCAGGGAGGAUUAAAAAAACCUGUCGCUCACUCUCUCAAUCAAAAGGCAUAAAGCUGAAGUGGCUUGGCCUCUGUUGAAGAGGAGUUCCCAGCUUUUUCCCUCUCCCUUCCUGCAGGUGAUCCUGAAACCUCACCUCCCGAGCACCCUCACUCUUCUAGAUCUGCUCCUGGCUGAGCAUUUCUCUCUUCACUGUGUGUCUUCCACCCUUCAUCCAGGCACUUCCACCUGCCUGAGCUCCAUUCUGGACCACACAAUAUCUCAGCAUGAUGUAUCAGCAGAUAUAUCACAGGGCAGCAGAAAAAGGGAGGUGACCUACCUGCCCCCCAGAAGGGCAGUGAGAGAGAAGUAGUGAGGAAAAACAACAAUUACAAAAAAAAAUAGUAAUAAUAAUUCUUUUUUUCCUUCUGGUCUCAGGCAGACUGACAAGCACAAUGAAAUGUGUGGGUGUCACUUGGCAGGUGUGAAUCGUUCAGGCAAGCUACAGUACACAUAUUUAGUUGUUUUAAACUGUCUUCAUACAUCAGACCUCGCCGCCCCUUAAGCCGAUUUAUUGCGGCAAUCUUUCAUUGAAAGGAUUAAUGUCAUCCAGACCUGGCUGCUUUGGCCAUUUGCAUCGAGGCUGCCAGCCCAAUACUCGACAUUUUCUCCAUGGCCAGUUCUUCCCUGGGUCAUUUAGGGGGAGAUCAGUGCAGGGAAGGGGAAGUUUUGGAGUUAACCCCCAGCAUCCAGCACUGUCCUG
rnacentral:lncRNA from 1 species